rnacentral:rRNA from 1 species
ACCAAGGCAUUGAUGGGUAGUUGGUCUGAGAGGACGACCAGCCACAUUGGGACUGAGAUACGGCCCAGACUCCUACGGGAGGCAGCAGUGGGGAAUCUUGGACAAUGGGGGAAACCCUGAUCCAGCGACACCGCGUGGGGGAUGAAGGCUUUCGGGUUGUAAACCCCUUUUCUGGGGGAAGAAUAAGGUUGGGAGGAAAUGCCCAUCCGAUGACGGUACUCCAGGAAUAAGCAUCGGCAAACUUCGUGCCAGCAGCCGCGGUAAGACGAAGGAUGCGAGCGUUAUCCGGAAUUACUGGGCGUAAAGGGCGUCUAGGCGGUUGGGUAAGUCACUUGUGAAAGCCCUCGGCUUAACCGAGGAAAGUCUCGUGAUACUGCCCAGCUUGGGUGUAGGAGAGGGGAGUGGAACUCACAGAGUAGCGGUGGAAUGCGUAGAUACUGUGAGGUACCCCGAUGGCGAAGGCAACUCCCUGGCCUACUACCGACGCUGAAGCGCGAAAGCGUGGGGAGCAAAGGGGAUUAGAUACCCCCGUAGUCCACGCCCCAAACGAUGUUCACUUGGUGUCGGCCGCAAAUAUAGGUCGGUGCCGGAGCUAACGCGUUAAGUGAACCGCCUGAGGAGUACGGCCGCAAGGCUAAAACUCAAGAGAAUUGACGGGUCCCCGCACAAGCGGUGGAGCACGUGGUUUAAUUCGAUUUAAGCGAAGAACCUCACCCAGGCUUGACAUACUAGUGGUAGGAACCUGAAAGGGGGACGACCCUGCCUUCGGGUAGGGAGCUAGUACAGGUGAUGCAUGGCUGUCGUCAGCUCGUGUCGUGGGAUGUAGGGUUAAGUCCCGAAACGAGCGCAACCCUUGUCGUUAGUUGCCAGCGGGUAAUGCCGGGGACUCUAGCGAGACUGCUGGUGAAUAGCCGGAGGAAGGCGGGGAUGACGUCAAGUCAUCAUGUCCCUUAUGCCUGGGGCGACACACAUGCUACAAUGGGGGGUACAGAGGGUCGCAAUACCGUAAGGUGGAGCCAAUCUCAAAAAAACCCUCCUCAGUUCGGAUUGAGGUCUGCAACUCGACCUCAUGAAGCCGGAAUCGCUAGUAAUCGUAGGUCAGCCAUACUACGGUGAAUAUGUACUCGGGGAUUGUACACACCGCCCGUCACACCAACCGAGUGGGGGGUACCUGAAGUCGUCUCCAUGAGGCGCCGAGGGUAACCUUCGCAAGAGGGGUGAAGUCGUAACAAGGUA